rnacentral:rRNA from 1 species
UACGUAGGGUGCGAGCGUUGUCCGGAAUUACUGGGCGUAAAGAGCUUGUAGGUGGUUUGUCGCGUUGUUCGUGAAAUCUCACGGCUUAACUGUGAGCGUGCGGGCGAUACGGGCAGACUAGAGUACUGCAGGGGAGACUGGAAUUCCUGGUGUAGCGGUGGAAUGCGCAGAUAUCAGGAGGAACACCGGUGGCGAAGGCGGGUCUCUGGGCCGAUACUGACGCUGAGGAGCGAAAGCGUGGGGGAGCAAACAGG